GGGGGAUACCCGGGGAGACGCAGCUAAACCGCAUACGCCCCACGGGGGAGGAGGGGGAUCCUUCGGGACCUCUCGCUAUUGGAUGAGCCCGCGUCGGAUUAGCUAGUUGGUAGGGUAAAGGCCUACCAAGGCGACGAUCCGUAGCUGGUCUGAGAGGACGACCAGCCACACUGGGACUGAGACACGGCCCAGACUCCUACGGGAGGCAGCAGUGGGGAAUAUUGGACAAUGGGCGAAAGCCUGAUCCAGCAAUGCCGCGUGUGUGAAGAAGGCCUGAGGGUUGUAAAGCACUUUCAAUUGGGAAGAAAAGCUUAAGGUUAAUAACCUUAGGUCUUGACGUUACCUUUAGAAGAAGCACCGGCUAAAUCCGUGCCAGCAGC
rnacentral:rRNA from 1 species